rnacentral:lncRNA from 1 species
AUACCCAAACACUCAGGGCCCUUUCUCCGGCCUCACUGUCCCAGCGGGGUCCCAGUUCCCUGGAAACCCAGGUGCCCACUCUCUUAUUUGACCUCAGGACCUUCUCCCACAUCAUACUGGCUUCCCGCCAAGUCUCUGUCCCCCUUCCCCAAUCAGGCCUCAGUUCCCCACACCAACCUCUGUUUCUGCCCCUGCCUGGGGUACCCUCCCAGGUCUCUGCCUUCUCUCCUACCCCCAUCAUCAGGGUCAGUGACCCCUACACUCGAAUGUGGCUGCCCCCUGCCCAGCCGGAAAGCCUCCCAGGUCUCUGCCUUCUCCUCCUCCAGCAAUCGGGGGUUAACACCCCUCUGCCCUUCCCCUCCUCCUGCCCAGCCGGACACCCUCCCAGGUCUGUAUUCUCUUUCCCUACCAGCAAUCAGGGGUCAGCUCCGCUCUAGCCCUCCCUUGUUCAGUCAGGCACCCUCCCAGGUUUGUCUUCUCUCUUACCCCCAUCAGCGGCCAGUUCACCCUCGACUGUGGCUUCCUCCUGCCCAGCUGGGAACACUCGCUGAUCUGUUUUCUCCUCCCCUACCAACAAUCGGGGGUCAGCUCCCCCCUAUCCAUCCCCCUGCCCCGCCAGGCACCCUCUCAGGUCUGUGUCUUCUCCUACCCCGGCAACCGGGGGUCAAUGCUCCUCUGCCCUUCCCCUCCUCCUGCCCAGCCAGACACCCUCCUAGGUCUGUGUCUUCUCUUCCCCUACCAGCAAUCAGGGCUCAGCUAACCUCUGGCCCUCCUUCUGGCCCGGCCAGGCACAAUCCCAGGUCUCUGUCUUCUCUUCUCCUACCAGCAAUCAGGGGUCAGCUCCUCUCUGCCCAUCCCCACCCCCUCCCCAGCCAGGCACCUCCCAGGUCUCCUCUCUGCAUUGGGUCAGUUCCCGUUCCCUCUCCCUCCACCACUCUGUCCCUCCCCCUCCCCGGCCAGGCACCCUCCCGGGUCUGUUCCCUCUCGCUGCCCUCCUCGGGGCGUCCCCAUCAGGGGUUGACCGCCCCCACCCCGCAGAGGCCCAGGCCCCCUCCCACUUCAGAAGCCCCCUCCCGCUCCCGCCGAUAG